rnacentral:rRNA from 1 species
UUCUUUCUAGAAACACUUUCCAGUACCUCUACUUUGUUACGACUUAUUCCAAUUUUUAAAUGAAAGUGACGGGCAAUAUGUACAUAUUCCAAUUUUUAAUCAUUUUAUUAAAUUAAAUAAAAUUACAUUUAAAUCCACCUUCAAUUAAAUUUUUCAAAAUAAUAUUCAUUUAUUUAUAUUUAUUGUAAUCCAUUUAUGUCUUAAUUAUAAUCUACAUCUUGAUCUGAAUUAAUUUUAUAUUUAAAUUUUUAAAUAUUAUUUUUUUUUAAAAAUAUUUUUUUAACAACGAUAUAUAAAAUUUUAAAUUAAGUAAAUUUAUUCGUGGAUUAUCAAUUACCAAACAGAUUCCUCUAAAUGAACUAAAAUACCGCCAAAUUAUUUAAGUUUCAAUAAAUUAUUAUCUACUAUUUUAGUAUUUUCAAAUUAAUUUUUUU